GGUGUGUUUCAGGGUCAGAGAGUGUGCAGCAACGAAAGUGAAUCAGUUCAAACCCCUGAUCCGUGGAAGAAGAUUUUGUUAGGACAAGCAGGUUGCUGAAGAGAUUGAAGACCAGAAACCAGAGUUGAAAGAAAUCCUCAUGAGCAGUCCUUGUGCUUAGACUAAGUCCUGAAAUGACAAUGUACGUAGCCUCUGUCCACUUCGUCAAGAGCGAUGCACUGAAAUGUUUUCUGAUGGCAACAGUGGCUUUUUAAAACCGUUACAGUUCACUAUUGAAGAAUAAAUCUGUUUUAUGUUGUUACACUGCUAUGGUUAAGGUUUGGUCAGCUGUAGGUGCAGAGAUGAUUGGGUUAGGUUUGGGUGCAAAUUGGUACUUUAUUAAUGUUCAGGGAACAUUGUGGUUCUGGGAACG